AGAAUCUGAUCCUUGAUCUUGUUCCCCAAAUUCCGACAAAAAAGUGGAAAAUCGUCAGAAUUUGGGGCAAAAAUCGCCAAUUUUGGGUCAUUUUGGGGUCAUUUUGGGGUUAUUGUGGAGUUUUGGGGUAAUUAAUGGGGCUUUGGGAUCAUAAAAAGACCCCAAAGGUGACAGAGCCCAGCCCAGGGUCUCGUCGUUCACCUCGUUCCCCAAAUCCCCGCAGAAAAUGCGGAAAUCGUCUGGGUUCGGGGCGAAAAACGGCGAUUUUGGGUCAAAAACGGCGAUUUUGGGUCAUUUCGGGGUCGUUUUUGGGUAAUUAAUGAGAUUUUUAAGGUUAUUAUUGAGGAUUUGGGGUCACAGGAAUGACUCAAAGGUCACAAAAUCCAGCCCAGAAUCUGAUCCUUGAUCUUGUUCCCCAAAUUCCAAUGAAAAACUGGAAAAUCGUCAGAAUUUGGGGCAAAAAACGCCAAUUUUGGGUCAUUUUGGGGUCGUUUUGGGGUUAUUGUGGAGUUUUGGGGUCGUUAAUGAGAGUUUGGGGGCAUAAAAAGACCCCAAAGGUCACAAAAUCCAGCCCAGAAUCUGAUCCUUGAUCUUGUUCCCCAAAUUCCAAUGAAAAACUGGAAAAUCGUCAGAAUUUGGGGCAAAAAACGCCAAUUUUGGGUCAUUUCGGGGUCGUUUUGGGGUUAUUGUGGAGUUUUGGGGUAAUUAAUGAGGUUUUGGGGUCAUAGAGAGACCCCAAAGGUCACAAAAUCCAACCCAGAAUCUCAUCCUUGAUCUUGUUCCCCAAAUCCCAAUGAAAAACUGGAAAAUCGUCAGAAUUUGGGGCAAAAAUCGCCAAUUUUGGGUCAUUUUGGGGUCGUUUUGGGUCAUUAAUGAGGUUUUGGGGUCGUUAAUGAGAGUUUGGGGUCAUAAAAAGACCCCAAAGGUGACAGAGCCCAGCCCAGGGUCUCGUCGUUCACCUCGUUCCCCAAAUCCCCGCAGAAAAUGCGGAAAUCGUCUGGGUUCGGGGCGAAAAACGGCGAUUUUGGGUCAAAAACGGCGAUUUUGGGUCAUUUCGGGGUCGUUUUUGGGUAAUUAAUGAGAUUUUUCAGGUCGUUAUUGAGGGUUUGGGGUCCUGGGAAUGUCCCAAAAGUCACAAAAUCCAGCCCAGAAUCUGAUCCUUGAACUUGUUCCCCAAAUCCCAACGAAAAACUGGAAAACCGUCAGAAAUUGGGGCAAAAAACGCCAAUUUUGGGUCAUUUCGGGGUUGUUUUGGGGUUAUUGUGGAGUUUUGGGGUCGUUAAUGAGGUUUUGGGGUCAUAAAAAGACCCCAAAGGUCACAAAAUCCAGCCCAGAAUCUCAUCCUUGAUCUUGUUCCCCAAAUCCCAACGAAAAACUGGAAAAUCGUCAGAAUUUGGGGCAAAAAUCGCCAAUUUUGGGUCAUUUUGGGGUCAUUUUGGGGUCGUUAUGGGGUCAUAGACACACCUGGAGACUCCCAGUCCCUCCCAGUUUGUCCCAGUCCCCUCCCAGUUCAUCCCAGUCCAU